GAAAUGCGAUACGUAAUGUGAAUUGCUUUCCGUGAAUCAUCAAAUCUUUGAACGCAUAUUGCACUCCUUUGGAGUAUGCCUGUUUGAGAAUCUAUAGUAUUCUUUCUUGGGUUUCUUGUCUUACGACUUGGAACUUGAGAGAUAUGAGGUUUCCCUUGAUUGGGUACCUUUAAAUAGAUUGCCUAUUGUUGCUAAGAAAUGUUUGACAUUCUUCGUAACUCUGCAGAAACGUAUUUGAAUGGAACUGUGGUUUCUCAUAAUGCUGAAUAUGUAGAGAGAAGGGUGGAGUCUCUUAGGAAGAGUGGGUUCAUACCUUAUAAGUGUUGUCUAGGCAAUGCUUGAACCAAGGUCUCAAAUCAGGUAGGAAGACCCGCUGAACUUAA
rnacentral:misc_RNA from 1 species